AGACCCGAAACCCGGUGAUCUAGCCAUGGGCAGGUUGAAGGUUGGGUAACACUAACUGGAGGACCGAACCGACUAAUGUUGAAAAAUUAGCGGAUGACCUGUGGCUGGGGGUGAAAGGCCAAUCAAACCGGGAGAUAGCUGGUUCUCCCCGAAAGCUAUUUAGGUAGCGCCUCGUGAAUUCAUCUCCGGGGGUAGAGCACUGUUUCGGCUAGGGGGCCAUCCCGGCUUACCAACCCGAUGCAAACUGCGAAUACCGGAGAAUGUUAUCACGGGAGACACACGGCGGGUGCUAACGUCCGUCGUGAAGAGGGAAACAACCCAGACCGCCAGCUAAGGUCCCAAAGUCAUGGUUAAGUGGGAAACGAUGUGGGAAGGCCCAGACAGCCAGGAUGUUGGCUUAGAAGCAGCCAUCAUUUAAAGAAAGCGUAAUAGCUCACUGGUCGAGUCGGCCUGCGCGGAAGAUGUAACGGGGCUAAACCAUGCACCGAAGCUGCGGCAGCGACGCUUAUGCGUUGUUGGGUAGGGGAGCGUUCUGUAAGCCUGUGAAGGUGGCCUGUGAGGGUUGCUGGAGGUAUCAGAAGUGCGAAUGCUGACAUAAGUAACGAUAAAGCGGGUGAAAAGCCCGCUCGCCGGAAGACCAAGGGUUCCUGUCCAACGUUAAUCGGGGCAGGGUGAGUCGACCCCUAAGGCGAGGCCGAAAGGCGUAGUCGAUGGGAAACGGGUUAAUAUUCCCGUACUUGGUGUUACUGCGAAGGGGGGACGGAGAAGGCUAUGUUGGCCGGGCGACGGUUGUCCCGGUUUAAGCGUGUAGGUGUGUGUUCCAGGUAAAUCCGGUUCACUUUAACACUGAGGCGUGAUGACGAGGCACUACGGUGCUGAAGCAACAAAUGCCCUGCUUCCAGGAAAAGCCUCUAAGCAUCAGGUAACAUCAAAUCGUACCCCAAACCGACACAGGUGGUCAGGUAGAGAAUACCAAGGCGCUUGAGAGAACUCGGGUGAAGGAACUAGGCAAAAUGGUGCCGUAACUUCGGGAGAAGGCACGCUGACACGUAGGUGAAGUGAUUUACUCA
rnacentral:rRNA from 1 species